rnacentral:sRNA from 1 species
UAGAGAUAGGGUUUCACCAUGUUGGCCAGGCUGGUCUCGAACUCCUGACCUCAAGUGAUGCACCUGCCUCAGUCUCCCAAAAUGCUGGGAUUACAGCCAUGAGCCAUCGUGCCCAGCCAGAAAUGCAUCUCUUUAUGUGAGAACUUUGAUGCUGUUGAUUUCAGCAUUUAUAGCAAAAGACAAUCCCAAAGAGACAACACGCGUGGCUGUUUUUGUGAGAAUUUUGGAUGUUAAUGACAAUGCCCCACAGUUUGCUGUGUUCUAUGACACUUUUGUAUGUGAAAAUGCCAGACCAGGGCAGCUAAUACAGACUAUAAGUGCAGUAGACAAAGAUGACCCUUUAGGUGGACAGAAAUUUUUUUUCAGUUUAGCUGCUGUCAAUCCAAACUUCACAGUACAGGAUAAUGAAGAUAAUACUGCCAGAAUCUUAACCAGAAAAAAUGGAUUCAAUAGACAUGAAAUCAGUACCUAUCUCUUGCCUGUGGUGAUAUCAGACAAUGAUUACCCAAUUCAGAGCAGCACAGGCACACUGACCAUUCGAGUGUGUGCUUGUGACAGCCAAGGCAACAUGCAAUCCUGCAGUGCUGAAGCCCUGCUCCUCCCUGCCGGCCUCAGCACCGGGGCCUUGAUCGCCAUCCUCCUCUGCAUCAUCAUUCUACUGGUUAUAGUAGUACUGUUUGCAGCUCUGAAAAGACAGCGAAAAAAAGAGCCUCUGAUCUUGUCAAAAGAAGAUAUCAGAGACAACAUUGUGAGCUAUAACGAUGAGGGUGGUGGAGAGGAGGACACCCAGGCCUUUGAUAUCGGCACCCUGAGGAAUCCUGCAGCCAUUGAGGAAAAAAAGCUCCGGCGAGAUAUUAUUCCAGAAACGUUAUUUAUUCCUCGGAGGACUCCUACAGCUCCAGAUAACACGGACGUCCGGGAUUUCAUUAAUGAAAGGCUAAAAGAGCAUGAUCUUGACCCCACCGCACCCCCCUACGACUCACUUGCAACCUAUGCCUAUGAAGGAAAUGAUUCCAUUGCUGAAUCUCUGAGUUCAUUAGAAUCAGGUACUACUGAAGGAGACCAAAACUACGAUUACCUCCGAGAAUGGGGCCCUCGGUUUAAUAAGCUAGCAGAAAUGUAUGGUGGUGGGGAAAGUGACAAAGACUCUUAACGUAGGAUAUAUGUUCUAUUCAAACAAGAGAAAGUAACUCUACCCAUGCUGUCUCCACUUCACAAUAUUUGAUAUUCAGGAGCAUUUUCCUGCCAGUCAGCACAAUUUUUUUUCUCAUUUACUUCUUAAUUUGUUCAUUAAUUACAUUAAUUCUUUCCUGUAGGAUGUCUCAUGGAAUAUAUAUGACAUUUUAUUUAAUCACUUCCAAGAGCCAAAGCUAUGGAAAUACAGUGUUGUCCAUCUUAGUAAAUAAAAGAUAAUUUCAGAAACAUGAACAGGAUAGUUCUCCCUUAAGCAACUUCACAAACAAGCCGCUUCUGUUAGAUACAUGUCCUGCCCUUGCAAAUGAAGCUUUUAAAAAGGUGAAGAAAAAUUUUACAGUAUAUCCUGUUCUGUACAUUAAAUUAAAAAAACAAAAAUGUACAUGUGAUGUUAGUAGGUGUGAUAUGCAACCUGGUAUACAGACAUUUGUGCAAUUUCAUUUCAUCAAAUUCUAUCUGCUAAUGUUUUAUAUUUA